UCCUAAUUCAUCUUUAAAAUAAUUAGUUGUGACUCUUUAAUUAGUAAUAAAUUUAGGAAUCGUCAAUAUGUUAUACUCUAAUUUAAUCGGGUUAAAAUAGGGUAUAACAGGUUUCAACAAGGUACCACGCCUAGGCCCAGGCCAGGCCCAAUUAUCAUUGAGGCUUACUGAUCCUCUCCAACACACCUAACCACAAUUACAUAAAGGCUGAAAAUUAAACUAUGACUAACCAUGCCAAAAGUACUUGAAUUAAUUUAUACAACAUGGAUAACUAAAUUAAAUUUAUACAACUCUAGUCAUAAUAACUCAACACUCAUGGUAUCUAGCUAAUUAACAUUUGCAGCUUCAUAAAAAGACAUUCCAAUCUUCAGCUAAGGCAAAUUAGUCCAGCCCAGGUGAUUCCACAAUUUCUGAAAGACAACAGUUGCAUUUACAAGGAUAGCUACAAAGCUAGCUUGCAAACCCGCGUCCAACACUCCACAAGCAAAUGAAAUAGCAGUUAGGGUGAUUAUAACAUUUCCAUGACUUAACACACAAAAAUCAGAGAAGAGACAUGCCAAACAAAACUUUUCUUUUUUUAAAGGGUUAAUUCAACGAAACAGCAAGUCUAUUGAACCAUAAAAUUCAGAAUCAGCCAACAAAGCCAUCAGCCAUCAAAAACAUCAAAGUUAGUUAUAUUACAUGCUUGUAAACUCAAGAUAUUAACUUGAAUCUGGCUUUCAUCACCAUUUGAGUUACUACCAAACUUCAACUAGAAAAAUUGCAUAAGCAAACUAAAGAAGGGAACAGUUAAUCAUGGUAAUCCUUAGUGAUCAAUCACAGAAAUAACAUAGAGAAGAUAUUUUUUCAUUGCAUGAAUUCAGAGUAAGACAAAGUAGGUGAAGGUUUACAUACCUAGAAGGGAGAUAACAGCAAAUAACCAAAUAGAAGUAUGAAAUAUAGGAGUGAGAUCAGCUUUUUCGGUAACAGCAGUGAGAACCAGCAACAAUACUCAACACAACUGUGCUAUCAAGCCAUUCUUAGCUCCAAAAACCCAGAAAUUUUAGAGAAAACACACUUCCAAACUUUAGAAAAAGAAGCUGGACCUCUCAAAAGAAUUAUUAGGUCUGUUUUUCGUGUCUAAAGAGUGAGGGGAAAGCCAUAUUUAUACAACAAAAAUCUGUUGUGUGCCUUCCAAGGCAAGGAAUAAUUUUUUUGAAAACACCUCUCACAAAACAUCUUUUUAACAGCAAUUGGACAACUAGCCAUUUCUAAUUGGUUUCAGCAUUUGUACUGGCAGAAUGAAACCAGCUGUCUAUGCUCCAGAACCUUCUAAAUACCUAUCUGAAACCCUCAUUUCUAAACCCCAAAUUACCCCCUUAAGUUACUUAUUCGAAUCCUUUUACCCCUCACAAGUUUAAUUUGUUCACAAAAUAAAACCAACAAACCAAACAGAACUAGGCACGAAUUGAGAAAUUAGUAAAUAAAAAAAACAUAAAUUUUUGUGCAUUAAAUCCUGAAUUACUCCCAACCAUAACUAAUGAAUCAAAUUGAGAAACAACAUGAACAAACAUCGACAAGGAAUUGCUAAAGCUGAGUAAUCCAGCCACUGAACUGAGAACUCAAACAAAUUUUAACAAACCAAUAUGAAACUUAACCCUAAAUUAAUCUGCAAAUCGGAAUCAUGCAAGCUAAAAAAAUGAUGAGAAGAUGAAUAGUGAGAGCUCUUACCCCAAACCUGCCCCAAGAAAGGUACAGGUGAUGGAUUUCGACCGGAAUCUGAUGAGUCACCCAAAUCCGGCGGUCUCAAAGUGACUAACAACUACCGUCAAUCGAUUUCUCUUAUAGAGAGUAGUCUAUUAAUGUAUGUUUUUAGUCAAAUCGACUCGGAUUUAUGAAGAAAAUCGAAGAAGGGAGAAAUAGGGCGAAUUCUGGAAUCCCUACAUCUGAAACUAAUAGCAAUUGGUUUGAUUCUUCACGAGUUUAAUGGUGGCUCGUCAGUGAGGCAGGCGUGAACAAUAUGGGACGUGAAUCUAAGUGGGUUUAAAGGUCAUUUGGUGGGGUUGGAACGGUGGUUGGUUGAUGGAGUUUCUAGGGGCAGCUAGGGUUUGACGAGAUUAGAGAGGGGGACGAAGUGGGAUGUGAGUUUAG
rnacentral:lncRNA from 1 species